GCCUUGGUAGAUCAAAUUGGUAUAUCAUCCCAGCUUUAUAUUCGAAGUCGUAGUUCGUGGGAAGACCGAGGUUCGAAUCCUCCCCAAGGCA